rnacentral:rRNA from 1 species
GUGAAAUCGUUGAAGUGGAACCGGAGAGAGUUGACGUAGUAUGGUGGAUAAGUAUUGCAAGAAUCGCUUCAAACMAUGAAUGUGAUCGAGUAAUAUGUACGUCACCAAAGACUGCGCUGACAGCAUCGACUACACGCUCUGAACUGUGUUGACAUGUUGCCUAUUCUAGUAUAUAGAAUGGUGUCUUGUGUUACGUGGUGAAGUUUGUUGUUAUGUUGUUGAUGUUGAUAAGUAUGAUUAUACACCGAGUAUAAUUAUGUCAGUGUAAAAGUCAACCACCUCUCCGACCCGUCUUGAAACACGGACCGAGGAGUGUAACUUGUACGCGAGUCAUUGGGUGGAAAAACCUUAAGGCGAAACGAAAGUGAAGGCACGGUUAACCGGCUGACAUGGGAAACGUGCGGUAUUGUUAGCGAGACGUUACACCAUGGCCCUGUCUUGUCUGCAUGCAGAUGGGCAGCGGUAGAGCGUACAGGUUGCGACCCGAAAGAUGGUGAACUAUGCCUGAGCAGGACGAAGUCAGAGGAAACUCUGGUGGAAGUCCGUAUCGGUUCUGACGUGCAAAUCGAUCGAUAGACUUGGGUAUA